rnacentral:rRNA from 1 species
GACGGAGGAUGCAAGCGUUAUCCGGAAUGAUUGGGCGUAAAGCGUCCGCAGGUGGCAGUUCAAGUCUGCUGUCAAAGACCGGGGCUUAACUCGGAAAGGCAGUGGAAACUGAACAGCUAGAGUAUGGUAGGGGCAGAGGGAAUUCCUGGUGUAGCGGUGAAAUGCGUAGAGAGUCAGGAAGAACAUCGGUGGCGAAGGCGCUCUGCUGGACCAUAACUGACACUCAGGGACGAAAGCUAGGGGAGCGAAUGGG